AUUGAACGCUGGCGGCAUGCCUUACACAUGCAAGUCGAACGGCAGCACGGGUGCUUGCACCUGGUGGCGAGUGGCGAACGGGUGAGUAAUACAUCGGAACGUACCUUAUCGUGGGGGAUAACGCAGCGAAAGCUGUGCUAAUACCGCAUACGCCCUGAGGGGGAAAGCGGGGGAUCGCAAGACCUCGCGCGAUUAGAGCGGCCGAUGCCUGAUUAGCUAGUUGGUGGGGUAAAAGCCCACCAAGGCGACGAUCAGUAGCUGGUCUGAGAGGACGAUCAGCCACACUGGGACUGAGACACGGCCCAGACUCCUACGGGAGGCAGCAGUGGGGAAUUUUGGACAAUGGGGGCAACCCUGAUCCAGCAAUGCCGCGUGAGUGAAGAAGGCCUUCGGGUUGUAAAGCUCUCUUGUCAGGGAAGAAACACCGGCUCUAACACAGUCCGGGAAUGACGGUACCUGAAGAAUAAGCACCGGCUAACUACGUGCCAGCCGCCGCCGUAA
rnacentral:rRNA from 1 species